AGCCCUUCUCAGCCUUUGGCUAAGAUCAAGUGUAAUAUCUGUUCUUAUCAGUUUAAUGUUUGGUAUAUCCUCUAUUUGAGGACAAUAUAUUAAAUGGAUUUUUGGAGCCUGGAGUUGGAAUAGGAGCUUGCUCCGUCCACUCAGUGCAUCGACUUGCUAGUACAGUACCUCCAGGAACAGUGCACCUCUC